UAAUACGGAGGGUGCAAGCGUUAUCCGGAUUUAUUGGGUUUAAAGGGUGCGCAGGCGGAAUGAUAAGUCAGUGGUGAAAUCCUACAGCUCAACUGUAGAACUGCCAUUGAUACUGUCACUCUUGAGUACAGUGGAAGUGGGCGGAAUGUAUCAUGUAGCGGUGAAAUGCAUAGAUAUGAUACAGAACACCGAUUGCGAAGGCAGUCUACUAAUUAUGUACUGACGCUGAGGGACGAAAGCGUGGGUAGCGAACAGGAUUAGAUACCCUGGUAGUCCACGCCGUAAACGAUGGAUACUAGCUGUUGGUUUGACUUCGGUUGAAUCAGUGGCCAAGCAAAAGUGAUAAGUAUCCCACCUGGGGAGUACGUUCGCAAGAAUG
rnacentral:rRNA from 1 species